UUUUUUUUCUUUUCAUCCUUCUUUCUUCUUCAAUCUCCUUCAUUCUCAUUCUCAUUCUCCUUCUUUUUAUUCAUCAUUUUUCUUCUUUGUUUAUCGUGAACCUCCAUUCGAUUUCAUUUUAAUUUUAUAAUCUUCCCAUUUCAAAAUAUGGAAUUCUAUUCUUACGAUAAUUGUUUCAGCUCAAUUUUUGGCUUUUGCUGGAAAUGUGAUCCAAGAGUGGGCAUGACCGGAAACUACCGACCAUUACGAUCCUCUUGGCUAUUUUUUCGUUCACCAAUCUGCUAACUUGGCUUCCGUGUAUUUUUUGAAUUAAUCGAUUUAAACGGGAGCCUGUCGAUUGAAUGUAUCGACCAAAACGAAGUCAAGGGUAAUUACAUAAUCGAUUGAACGAUCUCUAUUCACGGUCACAGUUACUAAUUCGUAGAAAGGUGCGGGCGCCUCCUUGGAGACAGAGGCGAGAGAGAAGGUGGUGGUGAAGAAGGUCAAAGCGAUUUUCCCUCUAACGGACGAGCUAGAGAGGAGUCGUGGCAGUGAGAGAGCCGCGGUCGCAUUUGUUUCACGGCAGCCAGCAGGAG